rfam:Lentisphaerae bacterium GWF2_38_69 gwf2_scaffold_642, whole genome shotgun sequence.
AAAAACCCAACCUAGGUAAAGCCUAACCAGCAGCCUAGAACUGAACCUCGCAUAUGGCAAGGUAACAAACCAUAUGAAGCCGAGGGAAAGGCAGUCUGUCAGCCGCAAUGCGUAAGCUCAGCGUGAAGGUAUUCAGCCCCGAAAUAUUAAUUGUUCCGAGAG